UCUAGAAGAUUCUCUCCACAUAUCUCCUUUUUUCCCUCCUAUGAUCUAUGACAGAACGCCGGACCUUUCAACAAGAAGAACUGGGCUGAGGAUUUUCUCCAAGACUUCCAACAGGAAAGACCGCCUUUAGAGCAGUUUGUACAGCAGCGUGUGAUCGGACUGCACUGCCACGAGCACCCCAUGGAUUCACCCGCACCUGGACCUGAUUGAGAGCACCUCUCCACGCCGAACCACCGUCAUCACCCAUGUAUCUUCAGUUACAAAUAAAAUCCACCCUCUGGGGCUUUUCACUUGA